rnacentral:misc_RNA from 1 species
AACUGAUACUACCUGCGGGAACCUGCGGAGGGAUCAUUACAGAGUUCAUGCCCUCGCGGGUAGAUCUCCCACCCUUGAAUACUUAUACCUUUGUUGCUUUGGCGGGCCGCUUCGGCUACCGGCUCUAGCUGGUAAGCGCCCGCCAGAGGACCCCCAAACUCUGAAUAUAUUAGUGUUGUCUGAGCACGAUACAAUAGUUAAAACUUUCAGCAAUGGAUCUCUAGAUCGGAAGAGCACACG